GCGCGCCCGGGGCGCGGAGACUGACGGUGUUUCACGCAACGUUUGGAGACCUGUGCAUGCUGAGGGGUCGUCAAAAACUUAAUGGAAAGAUAUCUUCUAUCUGCUGGUUCACUCCUCAAAUGGCUACAAUGAUCAGGGCUGGACCAGGCUGAAGUCAAGAGCAUGGAACUCCAUUCGCGUCUCCCAUGUGGAUGGCAGGGCCCUAGCAGGAACACGGGGCGGGUUCGUGGAGCAGCCUGGAGAGCAAUGGCCAACAAAGCCACCUGCCUUUAUAUCCUUUUGUCUUCUUUCUCGUCUUCCGCCAUGUUGGGAUGCAGAACCCACAGACACUCAGGAGCAGAUGUACAGUAGCUGAACCAUCUGAAGCGGCUGCUUUGCGAUUAAGGAAGGUCAGUCAAGAGCUACUAGAAGGAGACAAGAAAUAUGAGGAGUAUGUCUAAAAUAUGAAGGUGCUUCAAAAACGUCAUGGAAAAUGGAAUUAAAAAACAAGGGACCGGUGCUGUGGCACAGUGGGUUAAUGCCGUGGCCUGAGGCGCUGGCAUCCCAUAUGGCCGCUGGUUCUAGUCCUGGCUGCUCCUCUUCUGAUUCAGCUCUCUGCUGUGGCCUGGGAAAGCAGUAGAAGGUGGCCCAAGCCCUUGGACCCCUGCACCUGCAUGGGAGACCCGGAAGAAGCUCCUGGCUCCUGGCUUCGGAUCAGCGCAGUUGCGGCCAUCUGGGGAGUGAACCAUCAGAUGGAAGACCUCUCACUCUCUGCCUCUUCUCUCUCUGUGUAAC